CUCCCUCCCUCCCUCCCUCUCUCUCUCUUCCUCCUCCUCCUCCCUCCUCCUCCUCCUCCUCCCGCGCCCAGCCUGCAGCCGGGAUCUCAGUAUUAUGGCAUCGAGGAGAAUGGAGACCAAACCCGUGAUAACGUGUCUGAAAACCCUCCUCAUCAUCUACUCCUUCGUCUUCUGGAUCACAGGCGUUAUCCUCCUUGCAGUCGGAGUCUGGGGCAAGCUCACCCUCGGCACGUACAUCUCUCUCAUUGCUGAGAACUCCACCAAUGCCCCCUACGUGCUCAUCGGGACGGGUACCACAAUCAUUGUCUUCGGGCUUUUUGGCUGCUUUGCCACUUGUCGUGGCAGCCCAUGGAUGCUGAAACUGUACGCCAUGUUCUUGUCCCUGGUGUUCCUGGCUGAGCUAGUGGCUGGCAUUUCAGGGUUUGUGUUUCGCCACGAGAUCAAGGAUACUUUCCUUAGGACAUAUACUGAAGCAAUCCAGAAUUACAACAAGAACGAUGAGCGGAGCCAUGCAGUGGAUAACGUACAGGAAAGUCUGAGCUGCUGCGGCAUUCAGAGCUACACCAACUGGAGCACCAGCCCUUACUUCUUCAAACAUGGCAUCCCUACAAGCUGUUGCAUGAACUCCAGUGACUGUAAUACUCAGGAUCUGCGCAACAUGACUGUGGCUGCCACUAAAGUAAACCAGAAGGGCUGUUAUGACUUGGUGACCAGUUUUAUGGAGACAAAUAUGGGAAUCAUAGCUGGAGUGGCUUUUGGGAUUGCGUUCUCACAGUUGAUCGGGAUGCUGCUGGCAUGCUGUCUGUCCCGGUUUAUUACUGCUAACCAGUAUGAGAUGGUGUAACAAGUCUUUCAGGAGUGCGAAGUCCAGAGCCUGUCUCAAGAUCAGCAGCUGCAGAAUUGGAGAAAGACUGAAACGAAUGUUAUAGCACACACUGUCUCUCGCACGCACGCACGCACGCACACCCACACCCCCACAAGCAAGCACGUGCGCGCGCGCACUUGCACCCCACCUCCCGAACUUUGUCCCAUGCGUAGUGUACCAUUCUGUGAAGUACCGCGGUGCCACCGAGAGCAGCCGGGUCCCCUCGGCCUCCGGACCCCGACUCCAUCCCCGCGGCUCGGCGUAGGACGGCACCGUAUAUAUGUUCUUGGUCACUCAGUAGUUGCAUCGUAAGUUAACAAAGACCUCCACAACUAGAACAUCCCAAGACCUCAUGGCUGCAAAGCUCCACUCCUGCUGCAGUGAAGAAAAUAUCAGAGAACAGUGAAAGAGCAUAACUUACACCAGGAGAGAUCUCUGUGCCAUUAUUUUUUCAAUUAAAUUACACAGAAAAAUAUCUUAGUAAUUCAAAGCCUCUUCGUAGUGACCCAGCUUCAACAUUAUCUGAAUAUUAUGUUCAUCCCUUAUUUAGUGAGGCUGUUGGUCAGUUCAGGGGAGGAAUGGAGUGAAACCCCCUCCUCAACCCUGGGAGAACUGGGAUAAGUCUAAAAGAUUUGCCAGUGGUACCGUCUCCAAUGCAGCGUGCAGUAGCAGUAUGGGGUAUGUACCUUCUUAUACAUGUAAGAAGGCAGGCUUCUGAAUGCUGUUCUGAACAUGACCUUAAAACACACACAAUAAUAUGUUUUAUAGAUAUAUAUAUUCUGGUAGUCUCUUUGAUGCUGUGGAAGCCAAAUAUCUAGUGAUGGAAAAGACCCCUUUGGCACCUUAGACUGCUGAACGCUCUAAGUGUUUCCUCAGAACCCACCAUUUACUCUAGUUUGAGGCAAGGAACGUAGUUUAGGAUUUUUUACUGACUUUUCUGGGUGCGACCCAGGCACAAUGAGCACAGGGAGACUGCUGAUUUACCUUUCAGUGGUGUCAUUUUGCCGGGAAGCUGAAGAGGAGCCGGCUUUUGUUCUGAACCCCACACAGCCCUUCACCCCACGGUAGUGACGGGGAGUCUGGCAGUUCGUCUGCCCGAUCCCAUUUCUUCCUGCAGGCACCACGUUAUAUAUCCCUCACAAGCCUGACCACAGCUUUCAGAAACAUCCAAUAAAUCAACAGUUAAAAGGGAAGAGUAGACAUGGGGAGCAGGUGCUUAUUAUCUGUGCAUCUCUGGAGAAGAAUAACCCACAGUGUAUUUCCAUGCCCAUUUGAAAUGGAAUAUGACCAUGACCCUGCAAGUGGCUCUGCUCGAAUUGUUCCUGGCAUCAUGUUUUACUCCUAAUAUUUUCAUUGUCUGCCUCCAUCAGUUUUACCUCCCACCGUAGCAUUAAUUUUGUAUGUGAAUAUGGAGGCUGUGCUUUAAAUAAUACAGCAUAUGCUUUUUAUUUGCCAUGUAGAAUAAUAUUUUUUUGGCUGAUUUAUGUUCCACCUGGACAAAAUUAUUUUUUAUGAUGGGUUUAUUUCAUUUGCUCCCACAUCCCCAAAAUGGGGGGGGGGGGGGGGGGGGGGGGGAGCGAGAUCUUGUAAACCACCAAUAAUGAUGGACACAGAAAUCUGCUUUCAAAUACAAAUUUACUGCAAAAACAGAUUCUCUCCAGCCAUGUAAAUGAAAAAUGCUGUUGUAAUGAUUUUAAGCUCACAAACGCAUGGUACUACUGGAGAGAGUAAUCUUCAGGCUCUUGUAUCAUCCCUUACACAAUGCUGAGAGUAUGGAGAAAUUCACUGACAGCUAUAAGCUAUUCCAGUAGAGCAAAAUUACACAUAUGGCUAGAGCAUGGAUUUAAUUUAGCUCUUUUCAGAACUUCAUCAAGAAACAAAGCCAGGACAAAACCCUGUGGUCUUUCAGUUUGCAGAUUUGCCACAGAACUUCGUAGGCUAAGCUGCCAAAUCUACCUCAUUUCCAGGACUGGAAAAAUACGUUACUUGCCAUUGAAACAAGUUAGUUACAAACAGAUAAUCUGGGUUUUAAUGAUUAAAAAAACAAAAAAUGUGUGAUGUACCUUGUUUUGUGUUUUACAGCCCUGGAACAGACUGGCAGUAUUUUUAUGCUAAUCUAUCACCUCCAGAAAUGCUCAUUAUGAACAGAUUUCUUAAAAAAAAAACCCAGCCAUAUGCAAUCCGUAGCACAACUUUGUUCUGAUUUUGACUUCCAGCUUUUGGUGCUUUUUGUAAAGCUACUAAAUAUUAAUCAUACAGAUCCAUAAUAGUCAUAGCAGUCAGAAAGGUCUGGUUCUAUUUUUGGUUGUAAUAGUCGUCUUCAACCGUACAACAUCCUCCAGACAAAACCACAUUGUAAUAGGAGUGCAUAUCAUAAGGACACAUAACGCCUCCAUGUCAGCUCUGAACUGCAGAGCUGAGAAAAGCAGGGUACUCCUUCAGAGCAGCUUCCCUUUUAAUACUGAGGGUAACAAGAGGAGAUAGGACUUUCACAGGAAAAUCCUGCUGCUUCUAGUCCCAUCCCACAACUCCGCAUCAGAUGGUAGAAAUCCAAGCUGCUGUCUCCCCCUUGGCAUCUUCUGGCAGCAGCCGGAAGAUUUGUUUCCACACAGGCCCUCUCCUCCCCGCACAAUGCUCUGUUCCAGCCCCUCAUCCUGCCACGUCCCGAAUCCUUGAUCCACCAGCUAGCAUGGAAAGCUUCAGCGAAGGUGGGCCACCUUUGUUCUGCUCCAUCUUCCUCUCUUUCUGAGCACUGAGAAGAGUGAAAAAUUUAUCAACAGCAAGCUGGGUACUGAAAAUCAGGUCACUGGUUUAAAACGAGGAGCAUUCAUCUAUAGGAUGAACGCUUAUUGCAUUUGUUUCACCAUCGUGCCAGCCCCGGGCCUUUCAAACAAAACCAGAGCUCUCGUUCUCGCACAGACUCCUCGGGAUGGAGGCAGCUCCUGCAGGAAUCGUAAGCAUGCAGACGGGAAGGGAAAGGGAAACAGUAUAAAAAAGCUACAGUAGAUGGUGCUAGACAGGUGCAGAAGACAGCAGCUAGUCAUUUGAGGAUACCUGCAAGAUUUACCCCUAAGCUAAGCGGUUUAGAAAAUGUGCAAUUUAGAUUUAUCAGUUCAGAAGGGAGAUUCAGAUAAAAACAGUUGAGCUGGUGAGAUUAUUAAAUGCAGAACCCCACGCUGAGACGAUGCUCACCCUAUAUGUGCUGACAAAGGGGAAAAAGGGCAUCAGGCCCCACCCCCACCCCCGCCUGCACCCCGGCAGCCACACGGAAGGCAAGGUGCGGCAGAGCGGUGGGAGGAGAGGGGGCAAGUCACGGGCAGGGACCUUCCUUCACCCAGGAACUUCUCUUGGGAGCUUGACAUGACACCCUUCCCGCACCUCGGGAUGGGGACGGCAGAACCAGCAGGAACGCUGCAGGUUAUGGUCAGAGCGGGAAGCGGAGGUCGGUAUUUCCUGAUGUCAGCCCUUGCGUAUCAAACCGUUAAUGUCACAGAAAGGUGGUCUUGUGUAUUUAAUUUUAUCAGGCGGAAGAACUCUGAUAUAUGCUGCGCUCGGUUCACCGCUCCCGUGCAGAUUUACUCGGCAUUUUAGCAUGCGUGCUGCCUCGCUGACAGAGAUUAAAGGCUCUCCUCAGAGCCCCAGGUAUUACGCUCAAAUGCAUAAAUCAGGGCUUAAUAUAUAAUAUUUGUCCAUAAAAAUAUAUCACGAUGGCAUUCGUUUGGCCAUCUGCAUAUUAAAUACCGUUACAGAACGUCACAAGUUUAUCGAGGAUUAUUUUGCUAUGCCAGUAAAGUCUCCCACCAUCCUAAACAGGUACCUCUUCCACCAGACCGUGGGCCGGGUUGCAAAGAGGAAGGGGCAGAUGUUGCCAACGCCAUUUGUGACCCCACACGUGCCCCAGCCAUGCGGUGCUGUGCCAGGAACCCGCUCCCAGGCCGGCCCUGGGCUCUGGCUUGCCAGUGCUGGCGGGGCAGGGCAGGGAUCACGGCGGAGAUGACACCGUGAGCUUCUAAAGGAGAAAAUUGCAUGAUGUAUUGCCACUCACGAGCACCCACUAGAGAGCUGUUUAGAGUGAGAUUACAGCCUCAGAGGAGACUCUCAUGCCUCUCGGUCACAGGGUUGCUACGAUGAUGCAGCCGCAGCUUGUAUGCUGGAGGUAAGGAGGGAUUUAAAUGAUGGCCAGAAAGAAAAGCUGGAUCAAACCUCCACAAACCCCGUUUGGAUUAACCCAGAUUCCCGCAUCCCCAGCUUUGAGGGACUUGAAAUCAUCCAAUUUGACUCUUCUCCCUUAAACAGAAGAAAAAUGGGAGGAAGAGAAUGAAGUUUAGACUUCGGCCAAGAGUUUACAAAGCAGCAUUUUCAGACUGAAGGGAAACAAAGAUGCCCAAAAUAAGAGUUUGUGCAGUCUGGAGGCCUUGACCCUACUCACACCAAUUCCAUAUUAGCACGGCUAUGUCUAUUUCUCCACGUUUGCUGCUGACUUACAG